UUUUUUUCUCGUAUCCUUUUAUCUUUGCAUCAGAUACUGCUGUGAGGAACCCACAGGGAGGGAAAGGAAAAAUAGCGGACAACAUUUCCCUCACCCUUGGAGCUGUGAGCCAGAAUGGAGUCGACUGUGGGACUCGCCGGGAUUGAAUAUAUGCUCAUGCCGGUGUGUGUGAGUGUGUGAGCUGAUAUUAGCAGCCCCAUUGGUAUUCAGUGGAGGGAGCUCCAGGAUCUCGCUGCGCCUUUCCCCAGGAUGGGAUCACAGAGCGGGGAUUGUGCUCGCCUGUGGAGAGCCUGCUGAAAUGGAUCUGAAGCCUUGCAGAGAUGGACACCAAAUGGGCAGCAUGGAAGCCAACAUCCACCCUCCAGCGACUAGCUUUCCACACCUAACCGCUUCCACCAUCUCCAGCCAUCAGCUCGAACCAUCCCAGCAAAGACCCCACAUGCAGAGUUGAGGACGGACAAGCUAGACUGAGAUACCUGAAGCUGUCUACAGGAAGUAGAGAAAAGCAGAGGGUGACAUGCCUCAGAGGAGUUAACUAACAGCAAACCAAUCAACCUGUUGAGCAUACGAUUGACUUCAUCUGAAAUGAAAUAGGCUGCAGUGAUGCUUGAGCAAUGGUAUGGAGCUAUUGGACAUGUCUGGAUUUAUCGCCCGGAUAUCCUAUCAAGAUUACGACACUUUCCUGCACACCUCAGAGCUGGGCUACUUUUCCAGAUUGGCUUGUGGGCAAAAGCGAGUAAUUGAAAAUCCCCCCUCGAGAGGUUCUGAUUUGUUGUGGGGUAGGAAGGCUUUUUUUUGAAGGAACAAUUAUUUUAAAAAAACAACAACAACCUCCCUUUAUCCCACAUUUUUCCCUUUUUUGCCAUCUUUCUCACUCAUUGCAGAGAAAUACAUUAUGAAGCAGCACCAUUCUUCUUCAUUCUCCCUCAGUGACGGAGAGAUAGGAGGGCCAGACUGUCCAGAAUAGAUAACAAGCAAGGAGACUGGCACUGAGGAGAGGAGAAGGGGGGAAAUAGCAGGAAAUAGAAAGAAACAGGUAGAGAGAGAAAGAAGAAGAGGAAGCAAGAAAAGAAAAAUUGAGAAUUAACUAGGAUUGUUCGAAAGUCUUAGAGUCUCUUUCUAAUUCGCCUGUGCCGUAUUGGAGGCUAGUUAGCACAAUGUGCAGGGUAGAGGUCAGGAUUCACACCAGGGGGGGCACUUGAGCAGGAGAGGAGGGUUAUGUGCCCCCUGCACCUGCCUGGUCUGUAUCUUAGUGUUUGGCAGGAAGACAGACUGAAAGAUGGCCCGGUUAACAGACAGCUAUACUGACAGACGAGCUCUGAGGCUGGUAAGAUAGACAGACAGACAGACAGACAGACAGACAGACAGACAGACA